GUUUAAUUUCAAUUGUUUUUGAUUUUGUACAAAUUUAAUUGGAGGAUUGAAUCCUCCAGUGCAGAGCAGCACAGCUCAAAUUGUGCGACGAUUAAGCAUGUGUUUAAUAUAAAUUGAAAAUGAUGUGCAGUUCAAGGAAAAAGAGGCGGAAAUGAUUUACUCAAGCGCUCACUUGAGUUGUUUGAGCAGGAAAAGGUUGCGUUUCCGGCAUAGUGGGCAGUUUUCCGGUUGUAUGGUAAGGAGUCGAUAGGCUCCCCGAUGUAAGAUUAGUUGAAAAGAUGAAUAUUUGACCUGAAAUAAGUAUGCUACAAAACACUAAGGAAUAUGGCAAAGCGAAAGUGGAGGAAAAGAACGAGUUUCUGGAGGAUAAGCUAAGCUGACCAAAGCCGGUCUGAUCGAACAGCAAGAACGUAACUGGAGCGAUCGACAUGAGUGAGAUCAGAUCCAAUUGCUUUAAGCACGAAAGGAGCAGCAGUUGCUUACUGGCAUUAACCAUUCUUUGCUAGCCGGUUAUCAAAUAAUUCAAACUUGAAUCGGACAGCUGGAGUAUCAAAAUUCGGCUAAAAUUGCUUCCCUGUAAAAUAGUUGGCCAACUCGCCGGUUUACUCAUUCAACUCUUCGCCUACCAGCACAAACUACAAAUUGAAAAUAGUUCGCUAGUUGAAAAUCUCGCUUGUGACAGUUGAAAUCGCUGAAGUUAGAAAAUGAACAGCUGGAAUCAGAUAGACAG